UAAGCAAACAUGUUCAGCUUUCGUUAUAAUAAAAAAAAUAAUUAAAGGCUCCACCUCUUCGAUUCCUACUUUAAAGUGGGAAAUAUAAAAUCCUAAGGUCUUCGAAUUCUGUUUUGUCAGCGUCAAAAUACCCACUUCUUCGCAUCUUCUAUGAUGAUCGAGUAUCGUAUAAUAGCGGAAAAACACAUAAACGGUAUUCAGAUUCAAAAUUGACGAAUUAGUCAGUGAAUUGUGCUUUUGUCGACUCUUCGUUAACCACAUCAUCUUUAUACCUUCAACAUUGCAAAACAUCAUUGAAUUUACGGAACUUUACUGCCAUUCUAUGUGAUUUUAUCAUUAGCACUUCAAGAAUGGGUAUAGUGGCAGACACGUUUAAAUUGGGGUAUUGAGAAUUUGUGACAUUUGUAGUGAAACCUCUCUCUCGGGCAUUCAAUCACAAAUGAUAACGACGCGGCUAACAUCUAGCCUUCGGCUGCCUUGGACCCUUGUGUCCACCACCCUGAUUGGUUCUUAUUUGCGCGGCAAUUAUCACCAGUUCUGUUUCGCGCCAGGGUGCAUACCAUCCAAUCGUGGCCUUCAGAUAAGGUCACGUGAAAGAGUGUUUUUCUGCUGUUCCGGUGAGCCCCUGUUCAUCUAUAAAUAAGCCUGCUCCAACUACGCCAGUCGUCGCGACCACAGACCUUUUCAGGUCUGGUCGUUUGACCACAUACCAACCAGCCAGUUUCUAGCGCCGAUGUCAUCACCACCAAUGUACUGUCUACCACAAUGUCGUCGCCAGCAACACCACCACCAGAGUACACACCAACAACGACAAACGCGGUUUUAUCUCGACACUGUAUGAGUGGAUUAUUUCCACCACGAAGUUAACAGUCAGAACCAACUUGCGAGAAUCUUCUGUACCAGGUAACCGGUCGCAGCAUCGACGCUCAACACACACAACAUGUGACACCACAGCUCUGCUCUCCGGCCACAACUUUCUGCGUAUGAACAUUCUAUCUCUUGUGUAACUCUUAUACGAACUGGUAUUUUCUUUAUUAUCAUUCAGGACGCUUAUCUACUGUGUUACAGACACUCUUUCAAUGCUCCGUAUUUCUCAUUCACACAUUAUUGUAUACACACAUAUUGUACUCUCACAUAUUGUACACACACUCUUACUUAUACGACGGUCCGUCAUUCAUAUUGUUGUAUACGUACUCUUGUUCACACGAAGGCCUGACUUAUGUAUUGUGUUAUUUAUAUAUGCCGC